AAUGAAAAAAAAAUCAGCACUGCCAACCAUCUGGAAAUGCCACGAGAGAUGAGAAAAAUUAGGAGGUAGAUGCACUAGAGGAGGAAGAGGAGCUCCAGUUUGAUCCCAUACUUUGUGUCAUAAUUCCAUAUUGAUAAGUUCUUGGACUUAAUGGUUCACUAUAUAAUUCUGGUUGAUGGACUUUGGGCAGUACAUUGGUGAAUAUACUUCAAAUCUUUACUAUUAAAGGAAAAGGAGGAAUACGUAGUUUUGCUACAUAAUACUCCCCCGUUCCCAAAAUAAGUGACUCAAAAAUAACUCAGUUUUGUACUAACUUUAGUGCAAAAUGGAGUCACUUAUUUUGGGACGGAGGGAGUAGAUAAUAGUAUAACUAAGAUAAGGAACAAGGUAUUGCAACUAGCAAGUUAUUCAGUUAGAAGUGAAAACUGUACUGUUAAGAGGUGUUGUCUCCUGUGCAUGGAUCAACCUGGAUGGAGGGUGGUGAAUCGGGACGUAGCGGCCACGGCCAGUACAAAACUGGGAGGCGCUGGGAGGCUAAUGCUUAACUAUCUUCGGAUGAAACUGACAUCGAGGAAAAGGAGGAAUAUGUAGUUACCCUUUGUAUUGAUGAUAACUACCCUUUUUAUUGGAGAAGACUCGGCCAAAGGUUGGCACAAGCGUUAUGGGGUCAGAGAAACGCGAGUUGGGACUUAUGAACAAUGCUUAUCUGGGCCAAUCAAACUGUGUAACCAUCUAUCAUCCUGGAGGUCUCAAGACGAGGUCGUGCCCCAGAAGCUCUGGAGUUUGGAUAUAAUGAAUUGGAGCAAUACAAUUAUUAAGCACAUCAGGCCACAAGCAGAAAUAAGAACCUUCUCUAUGGUACCUUAACAUUUUUAUAAAUUGCAUUUUCAUCUACGGCGUUGGUGGUCCUAAGCUACCCCAUGUUUCUGGCUACAUUGUUCUUCCUAAUAGAUAUCCGGGUUUGAGAAAAUAGCAGGCGAUAUGGGAGAUUAGGUGCUCCUGCGAUCCGAUUUUUAGGAUAAUAGGGAUUGAAGGCGGUAAUGCACGGUUUGCUUCAAGCUGUACACUGAAUCUGUGGAAGUCAUGCACGAUAUGCCUUUCUGGAAGACAACGUUGGAUAUACCUUUAAAGUUGAUGAAGAUGAUCCGGCUGCAUCAUGUAAAAUUUUGAUACAUCUGCUUCAUAUGUGCAGUUCUUAUUAAUUUCUGCACGAGUUAGUUUGCUGGAAAAGGUUGUAUUUUGAUGUGAACUAUGAAUUUUGUUUUUGGUUCAUGUUGUCGGCACGACUAUGGAUGGAUGUAAAUCUUUUGAAAAACAAACAACAGUUAUAUAUGAAGCAUAUCCAUCUUAUUGCAA